AGCUUUGCGCAGUGGCAGUAUCGUAGCCAAUGAGGUUUAUCCGAGGCGCGAUUAUUGCUAAUUGAAAGCAGCAUGCUAGUUUUUGAACAACGAUAAUCAGAUUACAUAAAACCACCUCUCCAAACAGAACAAUCUG